UUGAGGUAGGAGUGAGUGGGUGGGUGGGGGAGGAGCCUGAUAGAAGCAGGGAGGAGGAGGAAUGGGAUAGGUGGUUUUCAGAGGGGAAACCUAGAAGGGGGAUAACAUCUGAAAUAUAAAUAAAUAAAAUAACCAAUUAAAAAUAAAGUCUCAGUACGUAGUCCUGGCUUUCCUAGAACUCAUUAUGUACACCAGGUUGGUCAUGAACUCAUAAAAAAUUCACUUGCCUCUGCCUCCUAGGUGUUGAAAUUAUUGGUGUUCCCCUGAGUCCACCUUCUACAGUUCCUUCUGUCAAGCUAUAGAGGUCUACAACCUAGCAAACCUGGGUUCAGCCUAGGCAACUGAGAGUUGCCUCAAAACAUAAAUAUAACACACACACAUGUAUAAGCAAAUAUAAUGAAGGAAACUAGCUAGCUGGACUCUGUAAGAUCUGGACUACAGUUCAGUGGCAGAGUACCCGCCUCACAAAUGCAAGGCGUUCCUUAGGUUUAAUCCCUAACACUAGGGGGGGUGGAGGCGGGAGGAUAACAAGCUACAUAUAACAGCAUGUUCUUUGUUGAAAAUGGUUAGAGAAUUGAGUUAUUUGGAGAAAAAAAAAUCAAGAUAACUCAAGUUUUUUCUUUACUACAAAACAUUUUCAGUCAGAACCCUUUGAUUAUAAUAGAUGCUCAACUAUAAAAUAUAUUUUAUGCCAGGCAGUGGCGGUGCAGAGGCUUAAACUCUGUGAGUUUAAGGUUAGCCUGGUCUACAAAGCUAGUUUAGUUCUAAGACAACCAGAUCUAUACAAAGAAACCCUGUCUCGAAAAAAAACCAACCAAACGAAACCUAUUAUUAUAUAUAUAAACCUAUUUUAUAUAUACAUAUAUAUAUCUGAAUAAGAAAUAAAAUGCAAGUAAGAUAAUCUUCCAUGUUAUUUCUAAAAUAGUUAUUAUAGCAUGUGUUUAUGUGACUAUAUCCAUAUUUCUCCUCUAUAACAGUGUCACCUAAGACCACUGGAAAACACAAGGUAUUUACAUUAUGAUUCAUUAACAGUAGCAAAUCCCAGUUAUGAAACAGUAAUGAAGAUAAUUUUAUGGUUGGGGAAUCACUACAUCAUGACAAAUUGUAAUAUGGGUCACAGUAAUAGGAAGGUUGAGAACCACUAGUCUAUAUGAUGUGUGUGAGUGCAUGUGCCACAAAAUGUAUGUGGAGGUCAGAGGCCAAUUUUUGGUUUAUUUUACUUCCAUCUAAACAUGGGUUCCAGGAUCAAACUCAGGUCGCCAGGGCAGCAAGUGCCUCUCUACCUGCUGAUAUCUUUUGCCAGUCCAUCUUCCAUGUUCUUUUUUUUUUUUUAAAGAUUUUAUUUUUGAGUACACUACAGCCAUCCACAGACACACCAGAAGAGGGCAUCAUCACCAGAAGAUCUCAUCACAGAUGGUUGUGAGCCACCAUGUGGUUGCUGGGAUUUGAACUCAGGACCUCUGGAAGAGCAGUCAGUGCUCUUAACCGCUGAGCCAUCUCUCCAGCCCCAUCUUCCAUGUUCUUAAUACAAAUAUAAAACAAUGUCUUCUGAUCAAUUUUAAUAUGAUCUUUUAGGGAUGUAGAUAAAAUCAAAGUCAAAUGCUUACCUAUACAAUUUAACUUAUUUUACUGCCCACAUAUACUUAAUACAUUAUAACUCUUUCCAUUCCUGAAGUAUGUAUUUAUGAUUUCCACAAGUAAUCACAACUGCACAAUUAAAUAUUAUUUAUAACACCCUCAUAGAAGGGGGAGGGAGGAUGGGAUAGGGGAUUUGUGGACAAGAAGCUGGGAAAGGGGAUAACAUUUGAAAUGUAAAUUUUGAAAGUCCAGUAAGAAGAAAACAAUGGUAUUUACAGAUGGAACAUAAGACAGUGUUAGUCCUUCUUUUGGUUUUCUUGUCUGUCAUCUCCUCCACCACAACCACCAUCGCACACCAAUUUUUUGAGAUGCGUCUUCAUCCAUCUCUAGGUAGGUAGCCUGGCUGGUCUAUAAUUCCAUAUGUAAACUAGAUUGGCUACCAGACUGAGGUGAUCCUCCUGUCUCUGCCUCUAAGUUCUAGAAUUAAUUAUAAAAAGCCUGGUAUAGUGGCAGUCACCUGUAACCUCGGUGCUAGAGAAGCAAAGACAAGUGGUAGAUCCCUGGAGCUGCCAGCAAAGCCUACUCUAAACAUCAGAUUCCAGUAAGACACCCUGUCUCAAAAGGCAAGGGGGAGAGACGGCUCAGUGGUUUAAAAACAUAAACAAACAAACAAACAAACAAAUAGCCUGAUUACCUGAGUUUGAUCCCAGAGUUCCACAUGACUACCCACCCACAUACUCACAAUGGCAUGUGCAUGCAAGCAUGUACACACAAAAUAUAUACAUGUUAUAAAAAAAAACUAAGAACUAGGCUACAGCUAAAAAGGAAGAAUGAAACUUGAGGUGGUCUGGCUACACUCACACAUCUACAUGCACUCUAUGCACAUGUACUUACAUACACCUAUAAAUAAAAUGUAAAAAUAGUUAAUAGCCUUAGCUGAGAUGGCUGUAAUCCUAGAUAUUGGGAGGCUAACGCAGGAGAGUUGUCAUGAAUUCGAGACCAUAUUUAUUCAACAUAGUUCCAGGCUAAUCAGAACUGUGUAGCAAAACCCUGUCUUAAAAACAAAACAGAACAGCUAAGAUUCCUAGCAGUGGGGGAUAUGGAUCUUGAAGUGGCCACUUCCUGUAUCCAGGCAGGAUUCCCAGUGAAAGGAUAAAGACAGUAACCUACCCACAAACCAUCUGACCCAAAAUGUGUCUUGCCUACAAGGUAUGCAGAGAAAAAGAGCAGAGUCUGAGGGACAGCCCCAACAAUGACUGCCCCAAAUUGAGACCCAUUCCACCGGCAAGAACCAACUCGACACUAUUAAUGAAACUCUUGCAUACUGAAAUGCUUGUAUAAUGAAAUGUUUGCAUACAGGAACCUAGCAUAACUGUCCUCUGAGAGGUCCCAUCCAACAGCCAAUGGAAAGAGAUGCAGAGACUCACAUCCAAAGAGUAGAUGGGGCUUGAGGAGUUGAGGAAAAGACUAAAGGACCCAAAGAGGACAGAAUCUACAGGAAAACCAACAAAGUCAACUAAACUGGACCCUUGGAAGCUCCCAAUGACCGAGUCACCAACCAUAGAACAAGCACAGGCUGGACCUAAGCACAUGUAUAACAGAUGAGCAGCUUGGUCUUCAUGCAGGUCCCCCAAACAACUGGAGCAAGGGCUAUCCCUGAGCCUGCUGCCUCCAUGUCUACCUGUAGACCUCACACCCCCAAACAGACAGCCUUGUCUGGUCUCAGUAUGUGCCUAGUCCGCAGCAACUGGAUGUUCAGGGCGGGAUGGGAGGUGGGAAAGGGUUGACACUCAGAGGAGGGCUUCCCCUUCUUAGGGGAGUGAGGGAGUAUUACAUAAGGGGUACUAGGAGGAGAGGAAGGGCUGAUGUUGGGUUGUAAAGUAAAUAAAUUUAAUGUAAUUUAAAAAACAACAAAAAGCAGAACAAAGCCUUUAAUCCUAGCACUCGGGAGGCAGAGGCAGGAGGGCUUCUGGGAGCACAAUACUAGUGAAGCUCCAGAUCAUCCAUAUAAUAUAUAUGGAUGGAGGGGAGCUGGAGAGGUGGCUCAGCAGUUAAGAACAUUGGCUGCUCUUCCAAAUGAUUGAAGCUCAAAUCCAAGCACCCACAUGGCAAGUCACAACUGUCUAUAAUUCCAGUUCCCGGGGAUCUGACACCCUCAUACAGAUAUAUGUGGAGGCAGAACACCAAUGAAAAUACAUUUUUUAAAAAAUUUAAAAUAUAUUAAAAAGCUCAAAACAAAAUAUUAAAAUAUUCUAAAAAUUAAACUGAAGAUGUAGAUUGAUCAGGGAUGAAAGAACAAGGAAUCUUACUGUGUCAUCAAUAUGCGAAAUAAACAAAGAAUCUUGGAAAUUAAUAUUGCUCCUCUUUCUAAGUAAGACCUGCAAAAUCUUAGCUCUUUGAGGCCUCCAAUUCUAAAGCACAGGUAGCCUGUGCUAAAUGAACAACUUUUCUCCUGUGAUCAGUCAACCCAAUCUAUGCUUCCUACUAUUACCAUGUCUUAUUGACAAAUAUCCAACACUCACUAUACUUCUAUGCUUCUGAAUUACCUCUGUCCUUUUCCUCAUGAUAUUUUUAGUGUUCUCUUCCAAACAGUUUUAUUGAGGACUCUAGAACUACUUUUAUAAAUUAAGAUAACAGACACAAAAGUACAUUCUCCCAUUACAUAGACAAACUAUCUCUUCACAUAAUACUUAUCUCUCUAGCUUAAUUAAUUCUUGCUUCUCCUAAAGGAAAAUACCAAAUCUUCAAAGUGGAUCUUGCUUGCUUUUCCAUGGUCUAUAACUCAAACUUUUCCCCCUCCAUUAUGAUUUUCAACAUUGUCACUGCACUGAAGACCAAAACAAAGUCUUCCUUUGAGAUAUUAUCUUCUAACUAGUUGAGUCAUGUCUCUGCCAUCUACUAAAUUUAAAUUGUUUUCUGUCAUCCUAACUUCCUAUCCCUUCUAAAUUCCUUCACUGUCAAUAUCCAAAUGUAUGACCUACCUAAAACUGAAGAACCAGAAAGUUUGAACAUUCCCUGAUUGUUUGAGCACUCUGACUUGCUCCACCUUCUGAACUGCAGUCCCUAAAUGACCACAUCCCUCUAUGUUCUGGUUUUGCUCCCUUUUCGUUGUCUGGAGUUUGAGUCUGUAUUAAGAACCUGAAGAUCUGAACUUCUAUUGACUCAGUGAGCAUCUAUCGAGGCCCCGGAUUCCAGGAGGACCACUACAAAAUGAAACUGGAGUUUGGAGUCCGUUUCCUAGCACCUAUGUCAGGUGGCUUACCUGUGACACCAGCUCCAGAUAUGAUUUCUUCUUCUGACCUCUGCACACAUGCAUAGUGUGAGUUUGAGCACAACAAUCACACAAAUAAAUAAAAAGAAAUUCUUUCUUUUAAAAAGAACUUGCAGAGUCCUUUCUUAUCAACUCCUUCUUGGUUACCUUUAAUUCUUACAAUGAGGCUACUCCACUCAUCCACUUUUGAAGCAUUCUAGACAUUUUGUCCUUCUGUCUCUCCACAUUACAUGGCAGGCAAAAAUCCCAAUUCUCAAAAACUUAGCUUGUAAAUUUUUAUGGCAAGUAUAAAAUUAUCAAAAUUGCCCAGUAAUGCUACACAUUCAUAGUCUCCAAUUUAGCUAGUCCCUGGCACUUCCAGGCAACCCAAAUUUCUCAUUAUCUGGCUUCUACACUAUUCGCUACCUUGUAAUUAAUUCUCUCUCCUUGGGUUCUCAAAAGAACUUACCUGGCUUUGCAUCUUACUUUCUAACUCAGUGUCUCACUGGUUUAACUCAUGGACUUCUUCCCAUUCUGUUGUGUGUGUGAUAGGGUUUCUGUUGGCAUCCCUUCUAGGCUCUGCCCCACAGUUGUUAGGCAACAGCCAGGUAGGCCUGGUUUACUAUAAAGGUGGCUGUUUGCCCCCUCCUCUCUCUUACUCUCUGCCCCUUCUUUCUCUGCCCCUUCUUUCUCUGACCCUUUCUCCCCUUCCAUCUCCCCCUCUCUUUUCACAUGUUCCUGGCCAGCUUCUAGUCUUUUCUGUCUGUCUCCACUCCCUUCCCAACUCAUGUCCUAAAUAAACUCUAUUCUAUACUAAACCUGUUGCAUGGCUCAGGGGAAAGGGAUACCUCAGCAUGGGCCUGCCAAGGAAACCUUCUCACCUCAACAUACCUGGCUCUACAAUACGUACCCUGGCCUCUUCCUUUUUUAUACAACAGUAUCACCCUGCAUAUAGCUCUAGUUGACCUGAAACUUGCAUAGACCGGGCUGGCCUCAAGUUCAGAGAUUCACCUGCCUCUGCCUCCAGAGUGGUACAAUUAAAGAUGUAUGCCAGCAUAUUCAACUUUUACUUAUCUGUUUAAUAUAGCCCAGGUUGGCCAAGGGUGACACUGAACUCCUGAUGCUCUAGCCUCCACCUUCCAAUGUUGCAAUCAUAGACCUGGUUUAUACAGUGCUGGAGACCUAGCAUGACUUUGUGAGUGAGUGCUAAGCAAGCAUUUUAUCAAUUAAGCUACAGUCCCAACCCACUUUUUUCUCUUGAACCUUAAAUGUCAGUGGUGGUCUUAUGGGUCCUGUCUUUGAGGCUCCUCUCAUACUACUCUGAAUUAGUAAUCUUACUCAACAUGAUAGCUUCUAGUAUAUAAAUAGUCCAUGCUAGCCAUCAACUUGAAAUUCUAGUGCUUUAGGCUCCUAAGUGCUGCUAAGAUCACAAAUAUGCACUAGCACCUAUAUUUUGCAGACUUCUAAAUAGAAAGCUUCGGUUCAGAUCCCAUCCUUGUACUCCAGAUCCACAUUAAACUAUAAACUAUAAACUAGCCAACGUUAUAGCCUAUAGAUUUUGUAAAGGCAAUGUUUUUCCAUCCAAACCAUCACCAAAACAGUUAUCAAAUUAAUCUGCAAAUUAUCGCAGACAUGACUUCUUCCUCACCCUACAUGGAAAACAGGUCUCUUUAGUCGCCAGAGACAUCGAAUAAAGACUUCCUCCCCUCCUCAUGCCCACUACUACAAUCUUUCCCAUCUUGCCCAUGACAAGUAUUCUUUGUGAGCAUGUGUCUAGGCCGGAGGACAAACCUGGCUGUCGUGCUUUUUUUUUUGAGAUGGGAUCUUUCAGUGGCUUGGGACCCACCAAGUAGGCUACGUUAUGCUGACAGACAGGAGAGAUCUGAAGGCCUGCUUGUCUCAACCUCCCCAGUACUGGAUUUACUAGCAGGUACUGCCACAACCAGCUCUUUUUAUUUGGGUUCUGGAGGCAGAAUUCAGGUCCUGGAGCAUUCUACUUACUGAGCUGCUUGCCCAAACCUACAGAAUACUCUUCCUAAAACUCAAACAUCAAGACUGUAUUUCAGAUUGGCUUUACUUUUCAAAUUAUUUUUUAAUUUAAACUUAUUUUAUAUGUACGAGUGUUCGUCUGUCUGUGUAUACAUGUGUGCCUGGUGUCCUCAGAAGUCAGAACAGGGCAUCCAAUCACCUGGAAUUAGAGUUAUGAAAGUAUUCUUUGUGGGAGGAUGCCCUCCCAUACCCUAGGAUAAUAGGACUUCAUGAAUGAACCGUCACACCCAGUUAUGAGCUACCAUGUAGGUGCUGGAAACUAAAUCCAGGUCCUCUGUAAGAGCAGGAAGUUCUCUUAACCACAGCUUCUUUUAAUACAGUAUAAAGGUCCCUCACGACCAAAUACACACACCCUCAUCUUUUACCACUACCUUAUAUUCUGAACAUAUUCUGUUGUGGACACUAGCUUUCUUAUUUAAAACUCUGCAUGGCAGUAUAGAGAGCAGUGCUCAGGAGGCAGAGGUAGGUAGAUUUCUAUGAGUUUGAGGCAGUCUGGUCUACAUAGCAAGAUUCAAGCCAGCCAAGCUACAUAGUGACAAUGUGUUCAAUAGAUGACAGAUGGAUAUACAGAUGAAUGGAUGUGGAUGGAUCAAUUGGGCUGAUUUACGUUGCAUGUCAUAUUGUUGUGGAUAUAUAACCUCACCUUAUGUUAGGAAGUUGAGAUAAGGUCUCACUCACACUGCAGCUCAGACUCAUCUGGAACUCACUAUAACCAUGCUGAACUUGAACUUCCACAAUCCCCUUAGCCCUCCCACACCCUAGGAUAACAGGACUUCAUGAAUGAACGGUCACACCCAGUUACCCCUUGUCUUUAAAUAUCAUUUAAUGUUUUACUCUUGGAAACUUUUAUGAUAUUCCCAGCCUACAUUAACAGUAUUCUUUAUUUCUGGACCAAAUAACAUAGGACAUGAUGCAUACUUACGUUAUAGCACGUACCAAAUACAUCGUUAAAUGCCUGACUUCCUUUUUUUUUUAAGAUUUAUUAAUUUUAUUUAUGAAUACAUUAUAGCUGUUUUCAGCCACACCAGAAGAGGGCAUCAGAUCCCAUUACAGAUAGUUGUGAGCCAUCAUGUGGUUCCUGAGAAUUGAACUCAGGACCUCCGCAAAAGCAGCCAGAGCUCUUAACCACCAAGCCAUCUCUCCAGCCCCAUGCCUGUCUUCCUUAUCAGCUUAUGAGUACCUUGAAUGUAAAGGGGCUAAGUCUUUCUUCUCUAUAUAUCAAAUGAUAUAUAAUAUAGUUUAUUCAAUUAUUACUAUGUAAUAGUUUCUAAAAUACUUACAAAUCUUAAGAUCAAUUUAUGUAGCAAUGACAAUGUAUUUAUGAUUUAGUCUGUAAAUACUUGCUAACAUACAGUCUCAUGUAAUCUUCAGAGAUGUCUUGUGUGCUCAUACAGAUACCAUCUCCAUUUCAUCAAUGAGGUAAUAGACUCAGAUGUUAAUUAUCUUCUUAAAAUGCAGAGCCAUGGUUCAAACUAGGUCUAAAUGAUCUCCAGUAUCACGUCUUUAUACUAACACAAUGACAAACUUCAUUUGCUCUAAGGGGUCAUCCAAAGGCUCCUCAGCUGUAUACCUGUCAUGCCAGCACUUAGGAGGACCAAGAAUUCACGGCUAGUCUGAGCACAGUAAGAGUCUGUCUCAAAAAAAAAAAAAAGAAAAGAAAAGAAAAGAAAAGAAAAGAAAAGAAAAGAAAAGAAAUCUAUCUCAAAAACCAUAAACCAAACCAAAUCAAACCAAACCAUAGACUUUUUACCAGUCUAAUAUAGAUCUAUGGAGUAGCCAGCCAUAGAUCCUAAGUAACCUAAGGAAAGAUUCAAGAAAUAAAAAUUGUGGUUAUUAAAUAAUAAGCAUCCAUCCUCAAAUUUUAUUUUCUUUAUUGCUAUUUUUGUUAUGGUAUCACGAAUGCCCAUCACUCAGAUUAAUUUAAAAAAAUUGUGGAUUUUUUAACCUUUCUGGAUUUUAGGUUUUUUAAAAGGUUUAUUAUUUUUAUAUCUCUAAGUUUAUUUUUUAGAUUAUAGAUAUAGGAGUGUUUUACCUUCAUGUAUGUAUGUGUGCUGUAUACAUGCCUGGUGCCAAUGGAGGUCAGAAAAGGGUAUCAAGAUUCCUGGAACUGGAGUUAUAAAUGGUUGUUAACCACAAGGUUGGUGCUGGGAGCUGAGUCUUCUCCAAAAGCAACAAAUAACAAGUGUUCUUAAACACCGAGCCCUCUCUCUAGCCAUAUUUUUAUUUUAUACAAGUAAGUGUGAUCCUGAGUAUGUAUAGUGUACCACAUGUGUAUAGCAGAUGCCCUUGGAGGCCAGAAGAGGGCUUCACAAUCACCAAAACUGGAGUUGGUGUUAAGCCAUCAGAUGUGGGAGCAGGGAAAGGAACUCAGUUUCUUUGCAAGAUAAUUGAGUUGCUUCUACAAUGAUUCCAAGUCUUUUUGAUUGAUAUUCAAAUUCUUGCAGUUUUUUUUUAACAUCUUCAUUACUGAAUUUCCUUUUAACUGCACUGUGUCAACAUUACUUCAAUUCUUAUCAUCUAAUUUCUAUUAGAAAACUUGAAUUCUACUAUUCAUCUUCAAUAAAACAAAGCACAGCUAAUUUCCAGGCUCAAAAUUUUAGGUAGUUUUAUUUUUGUUUAAGUUUUCCUUGUUUAGUCUCUCCUAUUUAGUUCAGACUGAGACAGAACUUAAUAGCAUUCCUGUGUCUCCCCUAAAUGCCGGGAUUGAAUGUGUACACUAUAUGACUGGAAAUAGUUUCAUACUGAAUAAAAGGAAAAACCAGUUCUCUCCUUUCACCAUGGGUUCUGGACUCAAACUUGGGCCACCAGGCUUAUACAGACAUGUUUUUACCUCACAGGCACUUCACUGAGUGAGGUAUUUUUUAGAAUGCUAAAUCUUAAGGUCUUUUCCAAUGAAGUCUUUCCAAGACUGACCAUUUUCAAUCUUUUACAAGUAAUUCCAAUCUGUACUUCCACUAACUGAUCAAUUGAAUCUCCUUAAAGCAAAUUUAGUCUUACUAUCCCUCAGACAGUGCUGUUGAUCUGUUUCACUCCCAUCCCCAUCAUGUAUCCAAUAUGUGCUUACCUCCUACUAUUAUUAAGCAUAAUCAGACACAUUUUUUUCCUUUCCCUUAAUUGAUGUUUUGGCCAUCCCUCUCUUGAACUACUCUAAAUAACUAAACCAAAGUAAAGCUUCUGCCUCCUUUAAUAAUUAAUUUUGUUUAAUAAAAUUUCAUCAGUUAGCUUUCAAAAUAGUAAUGGAUCACUAUUCUACUUUAAAAUAAUCAAAAACAGCCACAUGCCUGGCUAGGCACUAUGCUACACACUUUAUAUGCAUUAUUCUCAGUAAUAUCCCACAAACUCUAUCAAAAAGACUGUAUUAACUCUAGCUUUCAUGAGGACACUAAGACUGAGAAUGUUAAGAACUUGUCUACCUGAGUUUUAUUUAUUCAGUGGCACAGCUGGUUUUCAAAGCCAGAAAGUCUAAUUCUAUCUAUGGCUUUCAGUCUUAAUCAUCCACAGGCUAACCUGCUAGAGCAAGCCACAACUUCAGCUUCUUAACUUGGAACACAAAAGGUCCCUUUUCAACUUCAUCUGCCACUCCUUGCCAAGCACCUUAUAUACUAACUACCAUUUCAAACUACGUACCUUUCUGUUUCUCUAUUCCAAUUGUACUCAUCUUUCAAGGGGUACCUUUAAACAUUAUUCUCAGUGACACUUUCUUUUUAAAUUGAGAUUGUCAUUUCUCUUAUCACUCUAAUAGCACUUUGUUUCUACCUCGUUUUUAUUCAGUGUCACCACCAUACUUCCCAUGUUAAGAUUGUAUUCUACUUACCUUUUAUUUUUAAAGUCUCAUGUAUUAGUUAAGACUGUAACUUAUCUUCUAUUUUAAAACAGUCUCAUGUAUCAUAGGCUGACUUCAAACAAGAUAUCCUUGCACUUCUGAUACUUCUGAUUCAAUUUCCUAAAUACUAAGAUGUAUCAUUACAUCUGGUUUAUGUGGUACUACAGAUUAACUCAGGGCUUCCUGCAUGCUAGGCAAGCAUAAUACCAAAUAAGUUACACACUCCAAUUCCUACUAAAAUCCCUGGUACGAAGCAUGUACCCAAUAAAUGUUGCACAUGUAAAGAACCCUACCUUCUUAUUUCAAUUCUAUCCAUUCUUCAAGGCUUCUUUUCCCUUAAAAAAAGCUCUUAGUAAUAUAUAUCUAUCUCCCACUUUAAAAAAGGGUGUGGUAGCACUCACUUUUAAUCCUAGCACUAGGGAGGCAAAGGCAGGCAGACGAUUUGGGUUCAAGGCUAACCUGGUCAUUGAAGGCCACAUAGUGAACCCGUCUUUAAAAAGAGAGCCCUGCCAGACCAGACAUUACUACAUCCUUUGAACUGAGACAACUUCCUACUUCUGCAAUAACCACAAUCACAACCACAUUCAUAUUCAAUGAAAUCUGUUAACUUUUCAUGAGUACUUAGUUUCCUAAGGAUCAAGACUUUAUUUCUACCCCCACUGUCUUCUACCCCACAAGGUUAAGAAACAUACAGCAGGAAUUUAAUAGUUACUAUUUUAGGGGUUGGGGAUUUAGUUCAGUGGUAGAGCGCUUGCCUAGCAAGCACAAGGCCCUGGGUUCAGUCCCCAGCUCUGAAAAAAAGAAAAGAAAAAAAAAUAGUUACUAUUUUAUAACUUUUUCUGUUUAUUUGUGGGUUUUGUUUUUUGGGGGUUUUUUUGGCUUUGUUUUUUUUUUUUUUUUUUUUUUUUUUUUUUUUGAGACAGAGUUUCUCUGUGUUGUCAUGGCUACCCUGGAACUCACUCUGUAGACCAGGAUGGUCUGCCUCUGCCUCCCAAAUGUUGAGGUCAAAGGCCUGCUCCACCAUUGUCCUAUUACUAUUUUAUAACUUUCAUAUCCUAAAAUAAAUUUUAUGUACAAAGACAAUCAGUUCAACCAUUUUACCUCUGAAUAUAAAUUAACAUUUUUAUGAUGAAAUGAAGUCAUAUGAUUGACACUAAAACAUACCUCAUUUAAAACUUCACAGUUCUUUUCAACAAAUUUCCCCUUACAAUUUUGCUUAAUCAUUCAAUAACUCUGGCUUUCAGCUCUCUCCUGAGCAGCUGUAUUUCCUUCUUGACAUUUUCUUUCUAAGGUAACUUGCUACCAUAGCCCUUUCUCUUUUCUUUUAAACUCACAUGUUGUAGUCUCUGUUCCUUUGCUUUCUCUAGAACACACGGUACUAAAAACUUAUCUUAGUAUGGUUAAAAUUUUAACAGGGGUAAAAAGGAAAUUCAUUUUAAGGAGUUAUCUUUAUAUAUAAGCCUAUAAGAUACUUUGUAAAUGAAACUAACAUUCAAACUGCUUUUAAAACAUGAAAUAAGGGGCUGGGGAUUUAGCUCAGUGGUAGAGUGCUUGCCUAGGAAGCGCAAGGCCCUGGGUUCGGUCCCCAGCUCCGAAAAAAAGAACCAAAAAAAAAACAUGAAAUAAAAAUAUCUGUGAGCAACUCUGAAAUCAGCAUGUAUAUGAAUAUUAUGAAUCAUUUGCAAAUCUGUGAUGAAAAAUUAAACAAUUUUAAUAAAACUAAGGUAUUAGAAAUAAGAGUGGCACAUGAACUCUGAUUUAUAAGCUAAAUGAAUAUGCCUGGCCAUUUAAAAAAAAAAAAUCAGUCUAAAACAAAAUAUAUUUUUUCAGCAUUUUGGUUCAAUCUGAAAAUGUGGUAAUUUAUGAUUAAUAAAAACUAGAAAAUUGGAGGGUAAUGCUGAGUAUAAAGGAAAAUUGUUGCUAGGCAUGGUAAUAUAUGUGUGCACUCUUGUACUUGGUGAAGUGAAGCCUGGUGAUAAAUUCAAGGCCACCCUCGGCUAAAUAACUGACUUUGAGGCCAACAUCUUGGCUACAUAUGACCCUGUCUCAAAAAAAAAAAAAGGGGGGGGGGCUGUGUGAAAUACUUCAGUAGGUACAGACACUUGCCAUCAAGCCUGAUAUAACUUGAUUGAACUGCUAGGACCCAUAAGGUAGAAUAAGAAAACUGACACCCACAGGAAUGCCUUGGCAUUUCUGCCACACACACCCCAAACAUUGAAAGUACAAUAUUUUUCUUUAAAAACUUAAGGAAAAAAAUGUGGGUGCUAAAAUGGAUAUAAUCUAAACACUAUUUUCUAUGGGAUGGUGAAUUCCACACUAUAGUAACAGAGAGCUUUACAAAACUGAAUUUUAAGUUUAUGUAGCAAAACAUGCAUUAAGACUUAGGGAGGAAAAGUACCUGGGAAAAUGAGGCUAAUAAGUAAAUGUGUUGGGAGAGGAAGGGAGGUACACUCCUAAGUCAGGACCAUUUUCCUGAUGUGGCAAUGAGGUACACAGACAACUGUUUUCCUUUCUGUUAGGCCUACAUUCUAUUAAACUUGCUCCACUUACUUACUGUGAAUAAUGAGUUUAUUUGCAUGUGAAGCGCAGAGGACAACUUUCCAGAGGAACUUGUGCUUUGCUUCUACCAAGUGGGUCCCAGGAAUCAAUCAAGGUUAAGUCAGCUUGGCAGCACGAAUCACCCACUGAGCGUCUCACCAAGAUGUUUGUCUCCACUUUCUUAAUUGAAAUAUAGACCCCACACACACAAAAAAAGUAACAAAAGCUUCAGGAACAUUUUAUUUUGUUUUGUUUGAGGAUUUUUGAGACAUAGUCUCACUAUGUGAGACAGGCUGAUCUUGAACUAAUAAUCCUCCUCUGCCUCCUAAGUCUUGGAAUUAUGAGUCUGCCAUUGUGACUAACCAUAUCGGGUUAAUGUUUUAAUGAUUCAUUUUUAAUCUUUAAUUAUGUAUACGCAUACAUGUCUGUGUGGGAGCAUAUGAAGGUGAAUGCAGCAGCCCACAGAGCACAGGAGAGAGCAUCAGAUCUUCUGAAGCCAGACUUAGUGAGACAGCUGUGGGCUGUUGGAUGCAGAUGCUGAGAAUGGAACUCUGGUCCUCCCUCUGUAAGAGCAGUACACAGGGCCAACAGACAACCUCUCCAUUAAAUCUCUAAUGAACAGUUUGAGCUGAGGCAGUAGCUGGACAACCAGGUUCAGAACUAAACAGAACUAACCUAGAAAUCUAAUUAUCCAUGACUAUGAAAGAGAGUUGCUACUAAAUUUUUAGUAACAGGCUCAUCACAUUUAUAAAUGAAACACCUAUAGUAUUAAAAUCUCUCACACAUCCGUAUUUCCUGAGUGUGACUAGGAGUUAAGAGCAGGUAAGAACCUUUACUGCCCGCUCUUCUAGAGGCUCUGAGUUGGGUUUCCAAUGCCCAUAUGGCUAAGAGCCUUCUGUAAUUUCAAUUACACAGGAUAUAAUACCCUCUUCAGGCCUCAUAUGGCACUAUACACAUGUGGUACACAUAUGCAACAUGCAGGCAAAACAUCCACACACAUAAAAUAAAACCAAUAUUUAAAAAAAGUCGAUAAAAUAAAGAUCUUUAGAAGCGUUGGGCCUAAAAUUUACUAAAGACAAGGAAAAGUUCCAAAGAGGAAUAGACUACUUGCGCUCAAUACUACUAGCAAUUUCCCAACAAUCUGAGGAAGUAGUGUAUAUGUAAAGCUAGAAAAAUAUCCUGAACUUAUGAAAUCUGAGAUUUAUUUAUGUGUUACUGUUUAUGUGUAUCUUUUUAGACAGGGUGCAUUAUAUAGCUCUGGCUACCCUGAAACUUGCUGUGUGGACCAGACUGGCCUCAAAAUUAACAGCAAUCUUUCUGCCUCUGCCUCUGCCUCUGCCUCCAGAGUGGUGGGAUUAAAGGCAUGUGCCACUGCAGUAUCAGGAUUUCUAAGACAUUCCACAUGGAAAUGAAAGUUGUCACCAUGAAGAAGAUACAAAUAAAAUACAGCAGGCAUUAGCCAUAAGCUUUAUAACUGAAAUUUCCCAAACAAGCUCCUUUCCUCCUAAGAAAAUGGUUUUCAUUUCAAAACAAUAAACUGUAAAUGGACAUGUAUUAGACUUACAACUCACCCCUAAGGAAUAUCUGCCUUAUGCUUGGAAACUCAUUUUUCCUUCAUUAAAGCACUAUGGGAAAAAGACUGCCACAUAAAUGACAAGGAACAAGAUUCACAUAAGGACAACAUAAAUACAUGAUUCAGGACUGUGACUAGUUCCCUCAGCUAUUAUUCUGAUGAGAAGUAUCCAGAGAAAUAAGCAUACAGGAAAUACAGUUAAGAAAAUAAAGAGGAGGCCAUUGCCUGUUUCAACCCCCACCUACAAAACUACAGGUAUUGAUAGGAUCAGCGACUGAUUUUGUCUCUUUCUUAAGGCAAAAGAAAAAAAAAAAAAUCCCAGAAAAAGAAGCUCAAAAACUCUUUAGUUCAUUCUAACGCCUAACCCAACCACAUAAGCCUAGGUUUGAAUAUAUUUGGUCAUGCUUUAAGAACCAAAAAGUGCAGACUGAAAACAGAAAACACAUAGGUGGGCAGUGAGUGGUGGUGCACACCUUUAAUCUGAGCUCUCAAGUGGCAGAGGCAGGCAAAUCUCCUCUAAGUUUCAGGCCAACCUGGUCUACAGGUUCCGUUCCAGGACACAGAGUAUCUCGGGAAAACUACCACGAAACACACACACACACACACACACACACACACACACACACACACACACGCUCGAGAAAAGGGUUUCUUGUUUUAAAUAUUUUAAUGGCAAACCACAGUCACAGUUCAAAACAAAACUAACAGUAUUUAAACAAUGUGCCAGUCUGUACUUGACACUGUAUUUGAAAAUUAAAAUAACUUUAAAGAAAAAUAAUUUCAGUUCUUACUAAUAUCCACAGUAUUAGUGUAGUAGAUGUGGUAGCUCUCUUUGAGAGCUUGGACUUUUAAAGAACUCUCAACUGCCUCUCAAUUUAUCUUAAAUAAAUCUGUUUAUCUGUACACAAACGUCCAUUAUCUCCUCCCUCCUUGGCACAGAAGAAUUUCACUUUUUUUCUAAAGAGUAUAACGCGUGUUUAGAGACGAUACGUAAAACCCUUUCUGUUACGUGCUGACGGUUUUUAAAAUAACUACCACUUCCUAUACAUGCGACUUUUCUGGGGGGGGGGGGGGAGGAGUUGUCCUCUCUGCAAUACUGCCCUGCAGCUACGUCUGGGUUCCUAAGUCACGCCUGGAUCCUUCACUCUUGUCCAGUCCCAUAUGGUUUUCCCCAAUUUCCGCGCCGGGUGGCACCUGAGGACCGAGCGCAAACACCCUGCUGUUGGCGCUCGCAAGGCGCUGUCACCCGGGAGCAGGCGUGGGCCAGAACCCGGACGAGUCCGCCGGCGUGAAGCUAAGGGAAUCCGGGGCCCCACGGUGCGCCCCGGCCAGCCGGAGUGCAGCUGUCGAUGAGCCGGAAGCUCAACACGGGCACUGCGCCGGUAACAGGCAAUGCAGGAAAGAAAGGGGCUCGCUGCGGCGGACCGCCCUAACCCCGCGUUAGCGACACCCCGCACAGAACCCCCGCCCGGGCCUGCAGGGCGAGCGGGAGACGGCCGAGCAGCCAACGCCUGGGCCCGGCCCAGCGGGGACCCGCCCAGGGGCCACUCCCCAAGGGAGGCAGCCAGUCACUCGCCCGCCCCGCCGGGCCGGCUCCGGAGGGGACGGACUCCCGCCCGCCUUCACACCGCGCCUCACGCCAGGCCCCCAGGGCUUCGGAGUUCCUGGCCUGGAAAUGCGACUGUGCAGCCUCUACCUUCAACUGCGGACCUCGGGGAUUGCAGGCGCAAUGCCUGGCGGGAAAUGACCAAGUCGACGCUGAGACAAGAAUGGCAUAACUGGCAGGACUCAAGGUACCACUGUGCCACCAUACAGGUUCUAGAGGAGGUGUGGCCCCAGGGCAGGUUGGGGUAGCUCUUACCACCUGCUGUGCUGUAGCAGUCUCACCCUGCUCUGCUCUGUGCCCGCAGUGUUUGACAGAGCAAACCUAACUCUCUCCUCCCCUGCACUCCUGUGUCUAUACUGAGAGGGGUAUUGGCUCUGUCUCCCGUCAUCAUCUGGGGGCACGUCUAUUCGUCGAGGACCAGGUGUUCGGGACCCCAGAACAGAACCCGAAUUCCAAGAUGACCUAUGGAGUACAUGAAGACUGCUGGAUGGUGGGGACCCUGGGUGAACAGCAGAAGGAUGGGAGGGUAAGUGGAAAAGAUUGCCCCAGGACUGAGCAUGAGGAACCUGAAGGCCCUGGUGUCUUUCUGGUAGUGUGGCAGUGUAGGUUAGCUGAGGCUUGCAUGCUGGCGCAGUUAAGACUCUGGCCCCAAUGUGCUGGUUGGUUUCUGUCCCUGGUCCCCAGGAAGCAUCAGUUCUGGAACGAUGAGGUAGACUUCGGUAGUUCAAAGUCCUUC